GAACCGGCCCUGUGCGACGCGGCGUCGUGAACCAUGUCAGGCGGGGAACCGAGCAGCAUUAAGCGAUGUCCUGCGGGUGCCGCAGCAAGCCGGUUUCCG
rnacentral:SRP_RNA from 1 species